UUUGAUUAGAUAAUAACAAUUACUGUACUACAGCUGUCUCAGGAGAUAGGCCAUAUCAUUACUUGAUAUAGUUCUCAUGACUAUUUUCUAGCAGUUCUGGAGAAUUUGACUCAUUUUAAAUGUACCCUAUAUAUUCAUCCCUUUCAUUGUAAUCCACUGAUGUGAAAAGAGAUCAUUUUAAAGAUAAAAGCACUGGCAUAACAAGAAAUCACCCACAGACUCUGCAAUCAAGUGCCAAGGUAAUAAGGUUGUUCAAAGCCAUGUAUUUACAAAAGCUUCAGAGUUUCAUUGCCCCCAAAAACAAAAACUUUGCAAUUUUUUUUGUUGAUACCUGAUAAAUGUCCAAUUUAAGCAGUGCCAAGAGGGAUAAGCAAAAUAUGCUCAUUAACCACUCACUAUCCAGCACUUUUCCAUCACCUCCAUUGCAUGCAGAAGGAUGGAGUGGGAAAAAGCAAUAAUUGGGAAUAAUCCAACACGUUUCAGAAAUAGGAGCUACCUUUGACUUCCAAAGGUUGGUAGCUCAUUUGACUUUUUUGACCAAUUAAGUAUCACUCUGAAUUUAUAUAAGCUAAUAGAUAUGUGUGUACUUAUUUAUUAUAUAUCCACAAAAACACAAUGAAAUUAACCUUAGUAUUUGAUAUAGUCACUUAACUAAAUGAUUCUUUUAAAUUGGUACCAUCCAGUUGUGUUGUAAUUCAGCUCCAUUUGAUAGACCCAUGGUUAUUUUGAAAAUUAUAUUCAAACAGUCCUCCUCAUAGAAGCCAUUGAAUCAAACUGGAACAAGAUAUUAAGUGGAGUAUCUAAGGAUCAGGAAUUUGUAUUAUUUCACUGAAAAUUAUUUCGUUGAAAAUGAAUCUGAGUAUUAGAGUGAGGAUAAAGUUUAUUUGGAUGUUAAGGUUAUGAUUAGAUAAAGUUUCAAAUUGAAAUUUAACAAGUACCAUUAGGAUUACAAAUAAUAUGAUGUUUAACUUUCAUGGUUUGUGGUGGUUUUCUGCUGAAAUCAAGUCUUUAGG
rnacentral:lncRNA from 1 species